UCUGGGAUAAGCCUGGGAAACUGGGUCUAAUACCGGAUAUGACUUCUCAUCGCAUGGUGGGGGGUGGAAAGCUUUUGUGGUUUUGGAUGGACUCGCGGCCUAUCAGCUUGUUGGUGGGGUAAUGGCCUACCAAGGCGACGACGGGUAGCCGGCCUGAGAGGGUGACCGGCCACACUGGGACUGAGACACGGCCCAGACUCCUACGGGAGGCAGCAGUGGGGAAUAUUGCACAAUGGGCGCAAGCCUGAUGCAGCGACGCCGCGUGAGGGAUGACGGCCUUCGGGUUGUAAACCUCUUUCAGUAGGGAAGAAGCCCUCUUUUGGGGGUGACGGUACUUGCAGAAGAAGCGCCGGCUAACUACGUGCCAGCAGCCGCGGUAAUACGUAGGGCGCAAGCGUUAUCCGGAAUUAUUGGGCGUAAAGAGCU
rnacentral:rRNA from 4 species